AUACGGAAGGUGCAAGCGUUAAUCGGAAUCACUGGGCGUAAAGCGCUUGUAGGUGGCUUUGUAAGUCAGAUGUGAAAGCCCACGGCUCAACCGUGGAAUUGCACUUGAUACUGCAUUGCUUGAGUUCAGGAGGGUAGUGGAAUUCCAGGUGUAGGAGUGAAAUCCGUAGAGAUCUGGAGGAACACCAGUGGCGAAGGCGACUACCUGGACCGAUACUGACACUGAGGAGCGAAAGCGUGGGGAGC
rnacentral:rRNA from 1 species